CAAUAAUGUUACUCAGAGCAGGUGUGAGUUCUGUAAUUGAUGACUUAUCUCUUCAUGGCAAAUAGAGGAGUUUGUGAUCGGGUAAGCAGGUUCAUAGAUUCACUUGAUCAAAGCAUCAGAAUCUGAUUAUGCCUCCUAUAAAGAGACCCUUUGAAGUGGAUCAGCACUCAGUUCCCAGUUAAGGAGCUAUGAGACCAUGUGUGGAAUUCCUUUGGAGCAUGAUGGAUUUCAUUCUGGAGCAUCAGGAAGCCUUCUAUGUCUCUAAAUGGAUGGAAGAAUCUCGCCUGUGAAGACAGUACAAAGAGGAGCUAAAGGAGCUAAAAUUCAUUUUUUCUUUUCUCUUUGACUCCACAACACUUUUGCUAUGAGUACUUUCUUCUCAGUGAGUAAAUCAUAUACUAGAAGGACUCUUUUCUUUAAAAAAGAGUCUGCUAGUUGUAAGAUCUGACAAACUUUGCAGUGGUAAAAGCUACCAUGAAGGCUGAAUGAGUGAAACUAAGUCAGAUUAAGAAGAUGGAAAAGUCAGCCUUUGAAAACAACUAUGAAGGUAACAGAUUCUUUGUGUGGCAUGUGGAAUAUUUGAAGGGAAAAGAAGGCUUCUCCACGUUUGCCCACCUGCAGUCCCUUUGACGUACUUUCUGGGAUACGAAACACUUCUGUUUGCUUUUGAUUGGAAAUUUUCAAGAGGAGACAGACUUCUGCUUUGUCCGGGUUUUUGUACAUUAGUUUUGUCUCUUUUAUGUGACCUAUGAGGCUAGUGAAAACUAAUUAAAACUUCCAUAACCUUCUGUAGCUUCUUAAUCUUCUGAGUAUGCAUAUUUACACAAACAUUUUGUGUUAAAGUAUUUCUGAAAUUGUGAGAUUAGGAUAUCUAUGUGUGAAAUUAAUUGGAUGUUUCUGUACAUUCCCUGGCUCUGCUCUGUACUCAUCUCACCUGUCCUACCUUUUUGAUCUCCUGGAGCCAUAUUUCUAGCUAUCUCAAAGCAUGGUACAUAAACCACUUUAUGUGAAUGGUUUGAGGAUUCAUUUUCCCACUUGGAAUAUGGUUACAGCCCAUUUUUUCCAUACUGUAAGGUUGAUACAUCUAUAUUUUUCAGGAGAAAAGGUAAUGAUUUUACUGCUCUCUAGACAACGAUCUGCUGUUAUGACUGAUUAUCUCGCUUGCUAGCUCCAUAGUCUGUAUUUUAAAAUUCCCAGUACUGUGUAAGAAAUGAUUGUUCUCAAUUCUGUUUUUUCAUAGUCUUUUUUUAUUGGCUAUAACUAUAUAUGUAACAAUAGUAAUUAAACUCUAAUGAUUUGUUUAUUAUUACUUUAAAGAAGUGCAGCUUAUUUCUUCCUGUAGAAGAAACUUACUCUACCAAAACUGUACUUUUUAUGGAACGUAAGGAGGGACCUCAGAACAGACUUUCUUCUAGCUAUGGAUUCUAGAACUCCAUUGUGGCUGUCUCUGUAUUACAGCUGUGUGAACCUUGGCAAGGAGAAAGAAUUUGUUUGUGCUUUUCUAUUCUGUAAGCUGACUAGGAAAAGACAGGGCUGGCUCUUUCAAGAUGUCUCUAAACCACUGAUUACUGUAGGACUCUAGUCUUGGUUAUAUCUUCUAGGUGCUCAGAUAUUAGCCAGUGGUGUGCAUUUUGUCAUUGUAAUUGAAUCAAAUACUCUUCUCUAGGAAGUUGUUAUAUAAUAUGGGAAGAACAGGAUGGAAUGAGACCACACUUUUGGCUAUGCAGUGUUGUCUCUAUACAGGUCAAGCUUUGGCAGGACACUUAGGCCACUUGAACAGUACUUUGUCCUCCUUUUCAAACAUCUCCCCUGAAGUAAUAAUCAUAGAAUGGUUUGGGUUGGGAGGGACCUUAAAGACCACCUAGUUCCAUCCCCCUGUUACUCACUAGAUCAGGCAGCCCCAUUCAACCUGGCUUUGAAAUGCCUCCAGGGGUGGGGCAUCCACAGCUGUUCUGGGCAUCCUAUUCCAGUUCCUCACCACCUCAAUCAUAAAUUGCUUUGGCAUGG
ensembl:lncRNA